rnacentral:rRNA from 1 species
GACGAACGCUGGCGGCGUGCCUAAUACAUGCAAGUCGAGCGAAGUUUUUCUGGUGCUUGCACUAGAAAAACUUAGCGGCGAACGGGUGAGUAACACGUAAAGAACCUGCCUCAUAGACUGGGACAACUAUUGGAAACGAUAGCUAAUACCGGAUAACAGCAUUAACUGCAUGGUUGAUGUUUAAAAGUUGGUUUUGCUAACACUAUGAGAUGGCUUUGCGGUGCAUUAGCUAGUUGGUGGGGUAAAGGCCUACCAAGGCGACGAUGCAUAGCCGACCUGAGAGGGUGAUCGGCCACACUGGGACUGAGACACGGCCCAGACUCCUACGGGAGGCAGCAGUAGGGAAUCUUCCGCAAUGGGCGAAAGCCUGACGGAGCAACGCCGCGUGAGUGAAGAAGGAUUUCGGUUCGUAAAGCUCUGUUGUUAGGGAAGAAUGAUUGUGUAGUAACUAUACACAGUAGAGACGGUACCUAACCAGAAAGCACG